rnacentral:lncRNA from 1 species
CAGGGGCCCAAGAGCCACUGGUACCCAGUGUCUGGGUGGGGGCAGGGGGCAUUUUUGUUCUCCCAGCACCUGCUCCUGUUGAGACCAGAGAACUUGGUGGUCGACCACAGGCUGGGGUAUUAGUUCACCCCUAGCUUCUCCCCAGCGAGAUCCCAGGGCCCUUGGGCACAGGGGAUUAAGCCUCAGUCUGCUUACGUGCAAGCAGAAGAAAGAGGCCCAGAGAGCAACAGUGGCGGGUCUGCAGUCACACAGCCAACUUGCGCUUGUGGCAGUGGCAAGGUUGGUGAGUAUCUGAGUCUUCAGGCCACGGCAUUUUCCCCUUGAGUGGAGCCUGAAGUUCUGAGGGUACCCCUCACUCAAGCUCCAGGCGUCAGGAAAAGAACAUUCCACGAAGUCCAUCUGGAAGACGGUCCUUUCCCUGCUGCCCCCAGCUUCUAGAACAUUCCCUGGAACACAGCAAGUGUUCAGUUAUUGUUCAUGG